rnacentral:tmRNA from 1 species
UGCCUUUCAAUGGCCGAAAAUCACCACUAUAUAAGUCUUGUUCUUCGGAACUAUGGCGAUAAACGCGCACGUAAUAAGCGGUUUGGACCCGGGGGCGGUACCCGGCGGCUCCACCAAUAACUCUGCUCAUUAGGCAGAAGGUGAGGGGCCGAAAUAGGAUCGACAGACGUGUAAAGGUGAUGCCUUCGCCCGGAUGAGCUCCGUUAGAAGCUCAACUUGCAAAUAGUUGCUAAUGACAACUUUGCUGAAGGUGAACUCCUCGCAGCGUAAUGCUGUGCGGAAACUAACCGCUUAAACUCCUGGAUGGUUUAGCUCGUCCAGGCGGGGCCCGGAGGCGCCUGGCAACAGAAGCCUCCACU